AUUGAACGCUGGCGGUAUGCUUAACACAUGCAAGUCGAACGAGACGGGAUGGAAGGAGCCUUCGGGUGACGGAAAUCCUAGAAAGUGGCGAACGGGUGAGUAACGCGUGGGUAACCUGCCCUAUGGAAAGGAAUAGCCUCGGGAAACUGGGAGUAAUGCCUUAUAAUAUACAGAAGUCGCAUGGCUUUUGUAUUAAACGCUCCGGUGCCAUAGGAUGGACCCGCGUCCCAUGAGCUAGUUGGUGAGAUAACAGCCCACCAAGGCGACGAUGGGUAACCGGUGUUAGAGGGCGAACGGUCACACUGGCACUGAGACACGGUCCAGACUCCUACGGGAGGGAGCAGGGGGGAAUAUUGCGCAAUGGGGGCAACCCGGACGGAGCAAUACCGCGUGAGUGAAGAAGGUUUUCGGAUCGUAAAGCUCUGUUAUUGGGGAAGAAAAAAGACGGUACCCAAGAAGAAAGUCCCGGCUAACUACGUGCCAGCCGCCGCAGUAA
rnacentral:rRNA from 1 species